rnacentral:rRNA from 1 species
UGAGGAAUAUUGGGCAAUGGACGAAAGUCUGACCCAGCGAUGCCGCGUGAAGGAUGAAGGCCUUAGGGUUGUAAACUUCUGUCAGCAGGGAAGAUAAUGACGGUACCUGCAGAGGAAGCCCCGGCUAACUCCGUGCCAGCAGCCGCGGUAAUACGGAGGGGGCAAACGUUACUCGGAUUUACUGGGCGUAAAGGGUCCGUAGGCGGUUUUUUAAGUUAGAUGUGAAAGCUUGAAGCUUAACUUCAAAAUUGCAUCUAAAACUGGAUUACUUGAUUAUUGGAGAGGUUGAUGGAAUUACCGGUGUAGCGGUGAAAUGCGUAGAUAUCGGUAGGAACACCAGUGGCGAAAGCGAUCAACUGGCCAAUUAAUGACGCUGAGGGACGAAAGCGUGGGUAGCAAACAGG